AUCUUUGCGCUUGGGGCAAUGACGCAGCUAGUGAGGUACUAACCAAUGCGCGUCUAUUGCUGGUUGAAAACUAUUUCCAAACCCCCUCUUUGGCCUGGGUUCUGCCUUGGCCGUUGAGAAUUUAUUUUUAGAAAC
rnacentral:snRNA from 1 species